UUUGUAGAAUGAACCGGCGAGUUAUCUUAUCGUGCGAGGUUAAGUGGAAGACACGGAGCCGAAGCGAAAGCGAGUCUGAAUAGGGCGGCAGUACGAUGAGAUAGACCCGAAGCCGUAGUGAUCUAGCCAUGACCAGGUUGAAGUUUGGGUGAAACCAAAUGGAGGACCGAACCGACCCCCGUUGAAAAGUUGGCGGAUGAGUUGUGGCUAGCGGAGAAAUUCCAAUCGAACACGGCGAUAGCUGGUUCUCCCCGAAAUAGCUUUAGGGCUAGCGUCGAAGUAAGGGUAGUGGAGGUAGAGCACUGAAUUCAUGAUGGCGCCGUCAAGGUGUACUGAAUGAAAUCAAACUCCGAAUGCCAUUAUAGCAUCUUCGGCAGUCAGACUGUGGGUGAUAAGGUCCAUGGUCAAAAGGGAAACAGCCCAGAUCAUCAGUUAAGGUCCCAAAAUUACCGCUAAGUGGAAAAGGAUGUGGGGAUGCACAGACAACUAGGAGGUUGGCUUAGAAGCAGCCACCCUUCAAAGAGUGCGUAACAGCUCACUAGUCGAGUGACCCUGCGCCGAAAAUUAACCGGGGCUAAAGCGGUAUACCGAAACUAUGGCAAUGACUCAGGUCAUUGGGUAGGGGAGCGUUCCAUGGGCAUCGAAGCUGUACCGUAAGGAGCAGUGGAGCGCAUGGAAGUGAGAAUGCCGGUGUGAGUAGCGAGAUGCAGGUGAGAAUCCUGCACACCGAUAGACCAAGGAUUCCAGGGGAAGGUUCGUCCGCCCUGGGUAAGUCGGGACCUAAGGCGAGGCUGAAAAGCGUAGUCGAUGGAAAACAGGUUGAUAUUCCUGUACCCGCGCAUCGAGUGAUGGAGUGACAAAGAAGGCUAACCGGACCGGUAAAUGGAUUCCGGACCAAGCGAGGUAGGAGGCAGUCAGGCAAAUCCGGCUGUCAAUCUGAAGGCGUGAUGGGGAGCGAACGGCGCGAGCCAAGUAGCGAAGACGGCGAUGCCAGCUUUCAAGAAAAGCUUCUAGCGUUAAUCGAUGAGCGGCCCGUACCAAAACCGACACAGGUGGUCAAGGCGAGAAGCCUGAGGUGAGCGAGAGAACUGUUGCCAAGGAACUCGGCAAAAUAGCCCCGUACGUUCGCAAGAAGGGGCGCUCGAAAGAGCCGCAGUGAAGAGGCCCAAGCAACUGUUUAACUAAAACACAGCUCUCUGCAAAGUCGCAAGACGAAGUAUAGGGGGUGACGCCUGCCCGGUGCUGGAAGGUUAAGAGGAUAUGUUAGUCGCAAGACGAAGCAUUGAAUUGAAGCCCCAGUGAACGGCGGCCGUAACUAUAACGGUCCUAAGGUAGCGAAAUUCCUUGUCAGGUAAGUUCUGACCCGCACGAAAGGCGUAAUGAUUUGGGCGCUGUCUCGGCAGCAGACUCGGUGAAAUCUUAGUACCUGUGAAGAUGCAGGUUACCCGCAACUAGACGGAAAGACCCCAUGGAGCUUUACUGUAGCCUGAUAUUGAGUUUUGAUCAAGUAUGUACAGGAUAGGUGGGAGACGAAGAAGUUGGGACGUCAGUUUCAAUGGAGUCGACGUUGGGAUACCACUCUUAGUUGAUUGAAAUUCUAACCUGUAUCCAUGAACUGGGUAAGGGACAGUGUCAGGUGGGCAGUUUGACUGGGGCGGUCGCCUCCUAAAGAGUAACGGAGGCGCCCAAAGGUACCCUCAGAUUGGUUGGAAAUCAAUCGACGAGCGCAAAUGCAGAAGGGUGCUUGACUGCAAGACAGACAAGUCGAGCAGGGACGAAAGUCGGGAUUAGUGAUCCGGCGGUGCAGAAUGGAAUGGCCGUCGCUUAACGGAUAAAAGCUACCCUGGGGAUAACAGGCUGAUCUCCCCCAAGAGUUCACAUCGACGGGGAGGUUUGGCACCUCGAUGUCGGCUCAUCGCAUCCUGGAGCUGAAGUCGGUUCCAAGGGUUGGGCUGUUCGCCCAUUAAAGCGGUACGCGAGCUGGGUUCAGAACGUCGUGAGACAGUUCGGUCCCUAUCUGUCGUGGGCGCAGGAAAUUUGAGAAGAGCUGUCCUCAGUACGAGAGGACCGGGAUGGACGCAUCAAUGGUGGACCAGUUGUCACGCCAGUGGCAUAGCUGGGUAGCUAAAUGCGGAAGGGAUAAACGCUGAAGGCAUCUAAGUGUGAAACCCACUUCAAGAUGAGAUUUCCCAUUGCGCAAGCAAGUAAGACCCCUUAAAGACGAUAAGGUAGAUAGGUCAGGAGUGUAAGCAUGGUGACAUGUUAAGCGGACUGAUACUAAUAGGUCGAGGGCUUGACCG
rnacentral:rRNA from 1 species